CCUACGGGGGGCUGCAGUGAGGAAUAUUGGUCAAUGGACGGAAGUCUGAACCAGCCAUGCCGCGUGCAGGAAGACGGCUCUAUGAGUUGUAAACCACUGUCCCCAGGGACGAAGAUGACGGUACCUGGGGAGGAAGCUCCGGCUAACUACGUGCCAGCAGUCGCGGUAAUACGUAGGGAGCGGGCGUUGUACGGAAUUACUGGGGGUAAAGGGAGCGUAGGCGGGACUGCAAGUUGGGUGUCAAAUCUACCGGCUCAACCGGUAGCCGCACUCAAAACUGCAGUUCUUGAGUGAAGUAGAGGCAGGCGGAAUGCCUAGUGUAGCGGUGAAAUGCUUAGAUAUCACGAAGAACUCCGAUUGCGAAGGCAGCUUACUAAACUGCCACUGACAUUGAUGCUCGAAAGUGUGGGUAUCAAACAGGAUUAGAUACCCGAGUAGUC
rnacentral:rRNA from 1 species